rnacentral:rRNA from 1 species
AUACGGAGGGGGCAAGCGUUGUUCGGAAUUAUUGGGCGUAAAGGGCGCGUAGGCGGCACUGUAAGUCGGUUGUGAAAUCCCUUGGCUCAACCAAGGAACUGCAACCGAAACUACAGAGCUAGAGUCCGGGAGAGGGUAGUGGAAUUCCCAGUGUAGCGGUGAAAUGCGUAGAUAUUGGGAGGAACACCAGUGGCGAAGGCGGCUACCUGGACCGGUACUGACGCUGAGGCGCGAAAGCUAGGGGAGCAAACAGGAUUAGAAACCCCGGUAGUCC